rnacentral:lncRNA from 1 species
GACCAAAGGCAAGUCGUGGCUAAACAUUUCCACCGUUAUGUAAAAAAUCGAUUUGAAAACACAAUUCGUCCUUCACCCACCACACCGGCCUAGGCCUAGCAAGGCAACAUGAAAAUACAAUAUGAUAAAUCUAGUAUAUUUGGCACAGCUUCUUCUUAUGUAUUUGUGAAGUUUACAUUCUUAUUGAUCUUGUGAUUAUGUAUGUGUGUGUGUGUGUGUGUGUGUGUGUGUGUGAAUAUAUUUUAAAUCUAAUGAAGUAUUGAAUACAUAUAUAUAGGCACCUUUUAAGACUAAAGACACAAAAAGACUGCUCAUGAACUUGAGAACAGAGACUUUUGCCAUGAAAGUGCCCAAAAUUGUAUCUAAGAGAAGGCUCUCUAAAAAUGGCAAUUUUCUCUUCCCAUUUUCUUCUCCUCUCCCUUCUCCAUCAAAACAAAACUAAAUAAUCAAAAACUAUACGAAAUUUAAACUUAAAAAGAAACGAAAAAUGUCAAAAACUCGGCAAAUUAGAGAUCUAAAGGUUGUAUUUUUCAAAAUUCGAAUACUUGUUCUUGUUAUAUAUACAAAGCACUCUAACACAAAAAGAUUCCAAAAACAUAAAUACAGAUGAAGUGAUGAUAUUUAUAAAACACAGCACAAGAUUCAAACUCGAAAAAAAUCAAUGCCCAAAAAUAAAAAUCGAAACUUGGUGACAUCCAUUGAAUGUUUUGCUGUAAACUAGAUAACACUUAGAACAUAGCAAUGCAUCCAGAUCUUCCCAUCAAUUAAACGAACCUGGAUUUAUCGAAAAGCACUGUUCGCCGGAGGUGUAAUAUCCAGCGACGGUGGUGAUCUGCUGACGACGGCGUACGAAGGAGUGAUCAUCGUUCAUCUCUUUGAAUUUCAAAACUUUUUAGGGAUUUGAUUGAAGAAGAUGAAAAAAAUCGAAGAAGGAAGAAAACAAAAA